rnacentral:tRNA from 1 species
UUGGGACGUAGUUCAACGGUAGAACUCCGGUUUUUGGUGCCGGCUGUUGGGGGUUCGAAUCCCUCCGUCCCAGCCC